rnacentral:rRNA from 1 species
GAUUGAACGCUGGCGGUAUGCUUAACACAUCGCAAGUCGAACGGAAACGAUACUAGCUUGCUAGUAGGCGUCGAGUGGCGGACGGGUGAGUAACGCGUAGGAAUCUGCCUGAUAGUGGGGGAUAGCCCGAAGAAAUUCGGAUUAAUACCGCAUAAUCUAUUCGUAGUAAAGUGGGGGACUUUCGAGCCUCACGCUAUCAGAUGAGCCUGCGUAAGAUUAGCUUGUUGGUAGGGUAAAAGCCUACCAAGGCGACGAUCUUUAGCUGGUCUGAGAGGAUGAUCAGCCACAUCGGGACUGAGACACGGCCCGAACUCCUACGGGAGGCAGCAGUGGGGAAUAUUGGACAAUGGGGGCAACCCUGAUCCAGCAAUACCGCGUGUGUGAAGAAGGCCUGAGGGUUGUAAAGCACUUUCAAUUGUGAAGAAAAGUUAGCGGUUAAUAACCGUUAGCCUUGACGUUAACUUUAGAAGAAGCACCGGCUAACUCCGUGCCAGCAGCCGCGGUAAUACGGAGGGUGCAAGCGUUAAUCGGAAUUACUGGGCGUAAAGCGUGCGUAGGCGGUUUAUUAAGUCAGAUGUGAAAGCCCCGGGCUUAACCUGGGAACUGCAUUUGAAACUGGUCAACUAGAGUAUGGUAGAGGAAAGUGGAAUUUCUGGUGUAGCGGUGAAAUGCGUAGAUAUCAGAAAGGAACAUCAAUGGCGAAGGCAGCUUUCUGGACCAAUACUGACGCUGAGGUACGAAAGCGUGGGUAGCAAACAGGAUUAGAUACCCUGGUAGUCCACGCCGUAAACGAUGAUAACUAGCCGUUGGGGGGAUUUACCCUUUAGUGGCGAAGCUAACGCGUUAAGUUAUCCGCCUGGGGAGUACGGCCGCAAGGUUAAAACUCAAAGGAAUUGACGGGGACCCGCACAAGCGGUGGAGCAUGUGGUUUAAUUCGAUGCAACGCGAAGAACCUUACCUGGUCUUGACAUCCUGCGAACUUUCUAGAAAUAGAUUGGUGCCUUCGGGAACGCAGUGACAGGUGCUGCAUGGCUGUCGUCAGCUCGUGUCGUGAGAUGUUGGGUUAAGUCCCGUAACGAGCGCAACCCCUAUCCUUAUUUGCCAGCACAUCAUGGUGGGAACUAUAAGGAGACUGCCGGUGAUAAACCGGAGGAAGGCGGGGACGACGUCAAGUCAUCAUGGCCCUUACGACCAGGGCUACACACGUGCUACAAUGGGAAGGACAAAGAGCCGCGAAGCCGCGAGGUGUAGCUAAUCUCAUAAACCUUUUCGUAGUCCGGAUUGGAGUCUGCAACUCGACUCCAUGAAGUCGGAAUCGCUAGUAAUCGUAGAUCAGAAUGCUACGGUGAAUACGUUCCCGGGUCUUGUACUCACCGC